GACGAACGCUGGCGGCGUGCUUAACACAUGCAAGUCGAACGAAGAGCGAUGGAAGCUUGCUUCUAUCAAUCUUAGUGGCGAACGGGUGAGUAACGCGUAAUCAACCUGCCCUUCAGAGGGGGACAACAGUUGGAAACGACUGCUAAUACCGCAUACGAUCUAAUCUCGGCAUCGAGGAUAGAUGAAAGGUGGCCUCUACAUGUAAGCUAUCACUGAAGGAGGGGAUUGCGUCUGAUUAGCUAGUUGGAGGGGUAACGGCCCACCAAGGCGAUGAUCAGUAGCCGGUCUGAGAGGAUGAACGGCCACAUUGGGACUGAGGCACGGCCCAGACUCCUACGGGAGGCAGCAGUGGGGAAUCUUCCGCAAUGGACGAAAGUCUGACGGAGCAACGCCGCGUGAGCGAUGACGGCCUUCGGGUUGUAAAGCUCUGUUAAUCGGGACGAAAGGCCUUCUUGCGAAUAGUGAGAAGGAUUGACGGUACCGGAAUAGAAAGCCACGGCUAACUACGUG
rnacentral:rRNA from 1 species